rnacentral:lncRNA from 1 species
CCUCACUCUCCAGGUGCCCUUUGCACCCAACAGUGCGUGUGAGGAACGAACUGCUGUUUGAACGUCCCCUGAGAUUGUGCGUAGCCCCGUGUAAAUGUAAUAGCCUCCAUGGCUUAAUUGGCUAUCAAGCGAAUUUUCCCAGAUGAAAGCAAUGUUGGGUUAGGGGACGACGGUGCAGCCACCCAGCCUUUACCAGCAGCGUGCUGCAGACGAAGGCAGUCAAGGUGUGGAGGUGAUCACGCAGGUGCAGCUCAGUUGCCGUGAUGCUCCUUGAGUCAAUGAGCUCUUUGGUCUGCUCUUCUGCUCAAGCAGAAAAGGAUUGGCACUUCACCCUUGAGAAGCUGACAAGAACCACAGGCUUCUUCAGGCAGGUGGUGGAACAUGGGUGUAUCCUGCAGGUGCUCACAGUAUCUCCCUUUGCUCAGGUGACGGAGGCUUGGGGUUUUCCAGCUCUUGACCUAAAAUUCCUGAAUGAUUGUUUUCAAAUUUCUUAAUGAAUAAUAGGAUGAACUUGCCACCCCUGUCAGGGGGGAAUGGGGUUCCUGAAAGCUGAGAGGCCAGGAUCCAGAUCCUGAGCCUCUUCACCAAGCAGAUGCUGUAGAGCAAAGGCAGCAACUAUCUAUCUAUCUAUCUAUCUAUCUAUCUAUCUAUCUAUCUAUCAUCUAUCUAUCUUUCCCCUUCCCUUUAAGGAAAUCCUCAGGACUAGGUGAGAUCUUAGAUCUAGUGGAGAAUCUGAGCUGCUCCAAGCAAAACCUCAGGAUCCU